UUGCCCUACGGGGGGCAGCAGUGGGGAAUAUUGCACAAUGGGGGAAACCCUGAUGCAGCAACGCCGCGUGAGUGAAGAAGGUUUUCGGAUCGUAAAUCUCUGUUAUAAGAGAAGAACGUGUGUGAGAGUGGAAAGUUCACACAGUGACGGUAACUUACCAGAAAGGGACGGCUAACUACGUGCCAGCAGCCGCGGUAAUACGUAGGUCCCGAGCGUUAUCCGGAUUUAUUGGGCGUAAAGCGAGCGCAGGCGGUUGGUAAA
rnacentral:rRNA from 1 species